rnacentral:rRNA from 2 species
CUGGCUCAGAUUGAACGCUGGCGGCAGGCCUAACACAUGCAAGUCGAACGGUAGCACAGAGAGCUUGCUCUCGGGUGACGAGUGGCGGACGGGUGAGUAAUGUCUGGGAAACUGCCCGAUGGAGGGGGAUAACUACUGGAAACGGUAGCUAAUACCGCAUAACGUCUUCGGACCAAAGUGGGGGACCUUCGGGCCUCACACCAUCGGAUGUGCCCAGAUGGGAUUAGCUAGUAGGUGGGGUAAUGGCUCACCUAGGCGACGAUCCCUAGCUGGUCUGAGAGGAUGACCAGCCACACUGGAACUGAGACACGGUCCAGACUCCUACGGGAGGCAGCAGUGGGGAAUAUUGCACAAUGGGCGCAAGCCUGAUGCAGCCAUGCCGCGUGUAUGAAGAAGGCCUUCGGGUU